UACGUAGGGCGCAAGCGUUGUCCGGAUUUAUUGGGCGUAAAGGGCUCGUAGGCGGUUUUGUCGCGUCGGGAGUGAAAAUCCACUGGCUUAACUGGUGGCUUGCUUUCGAUACGGGCAGACUGGAGGUAUGCAGGGGGAGAACGGAAUUCCUGGUGUAGCGGUGAAAUGCGCAGAUAUCAGGAGGAACACCGGUGGCGAAGGCGGUUCUCUGGGCAUGUCCUGACGUGAGGAGCGAAAGUGUGGGGGAGCGAACAGG
rnacentral:rRNA from 1 species